GAUGAACGUUGGCGGCGUGGAUUAGGCAUGCAAGUCGCGCGUGUACCCGCAAGGGGAAAGCGGCGUAAGGGACAGUAAUGUGUAGAUACGUGCCCUGGGGUCGAGAAUAGCCACGGGAAACUGUGGGUAAUGCCCGAUAACAUCUCCGGAUCAAAGGUGUGAUUCCGCCCUUGGAUCGGUCUGCAUCCUAUUAGCUUGUUGGCGAGGUAAUGGCUCACCAAGGCAAUGAUGGGUAGGGGGUGUGAGAGCACGACCCCCGUCACUGGGACUGAGACACUGCCCAGACACCUACGGGUGGCUGCAGUCGAGGAUCUUCGGCAAUGGGCGCAAGCCUGACCGAGCGACGCCGCGUGCGGGAUGAAGGCCUUCGGGUUGUAAACCGCUGUCAGUGGGGAGGAAAUGCCGGUGGGUACUCUCAUCGGUUUGACCUACCCGCAGAGGAAGCAAGGGCUAAGUUCGUGCCAGCAGCCGCCGUAA
rnacentral:rRNA from 1 species